rnacentral:rRNA from 1 species
AGAGCGAACGCUGGCGGCAGGCCUAACACAUGCAAGUCGAGCGCCCGUAGCAAUACGGGAGCGGCAGACGGGAUAGUAACACGUGGGAACGCGCCCUUCGGUUCGGAAUAACUCAGGGAAACUUGAGCUAAUACCGGAUACGCCCUUACGGGGAAAGAUUUAUUGCCGAAGGAACGGCCCGCGUCCGAUUAGCUAGUUGGUGAGGUAAUGGCUCACCAAGGCGACGAUCGGUAGCUGGUCUGAGAGGAUGACCAGCAUCACUGGGACUGAGACACGGCCCAGACUCCUACGGGAGGCAGCAGUGGGGAAUAUGGACAAUGGGCGCAAGCCUGAUCCAGCCAUGCCGCGUGGAUGAUGAAGGCCCUAGGGUUGUAAAGUCCUUUUAACGGGGAAGAUAAUGACGGUACCCGUAGAAUAAGCCCCGGCUAACUUCGUGCCAGCAGCCGC